AUAAAUUACGUUUUUGAUCGAUUUUGCAGGUUUUCGGUUCGUUAGUUGGUUCUAUUUGACGGUUGUUAGGUUUUACUUGUUCGAAAUUCGUCUAAUUGGUAUUGUUUCGAUCCAUGAUGUUGUGUAAUGCUGUGUUCUGCAAGAUAUGUGUGAAAGUAAUCACUGUACAUGUAAGGAAGAAGAUGUAAUUGGUUUUUGCAAAUGCUUGAGAUGCAAUUAGGGUCGGGAUGGUUGCCGCCUGAGGGUUGAGCUUGCUCAUGGUGGUUGUGGUAGCUAGGUGACGGUCGUGGUAGACUGGUAGCUAUUUGGGCUCCACUAGAGUUGCUACAUUUGAGGUGGUGAACGUGGCCGAGGUGGUGGGAGUUUUGGCAUUUCACAACAUUCCGAGUAUUGAGGUCAGAACUGAGAUAUACAUUUAUAACAUAAUUAUUAAUUAUAGAGGUGGCAAAACGAGUGGGUUGGGUAAUUGACAAAAAUGGGUUCGAGUCAAAGUGGAUCUUAAGGUAACAUUAUCUUUUAAUGCUUGUAGCUUUUUAUUUAUCCAUUGCCUUAAUAACUGGAAUAAAAAUAUACAGGAAGGCAAGGUCAGAAAGCAUUACAUGUAUAGAACCCAAUUAUCUUUAAGUAUUAAAAUCCGGCUAAAAGUGGAAACUUUUAUCAGCAUGUAUAUAAAUUUUGGCUGCAGAGGUGAAUGAGUAUGAUAUCACAAUAUCACAUAAAGCUGCCUAUUUUUUUUUUUUUCAAAUCACAUAACUAAACAUAUACCCUAGGGUAGGCUGUUCCUC
rnacentral:lncRNA from 1 species